rnacentral:rRNA from 1 species
AUGAAUACAAAUACAUAUGCUGAUCGGAUGUGUUACUCCAAUAUAAAUAUAUAUCAUAUGUUUAUACAAGAUUCAAAACAGAUACGAAUAAUAGCGACAUAUCUUUCCCUACUAAUAAAGCAGCGAUUGCUUCUGGUGGUACGUCGUCGGCGAUUUUGCAAAAAAGUGGCUAAUCUAAAAAACGAUUUGUUCUUAAAAAAGGACCCUGCAGUUUAUAUUAUUCAACCCACGACCGCAGGAAAGGGAAGGGCCGAUGCUUGGUUGGUGGUCUGGGCGGCGGAUCCGGCGGUGGGGCAGACGGAUCAUGUCGGAGUAGCGCGAGGCUGA